AUGAAGUUGGAUUCGCUAGUAAUCGCGCAUCAGCCAUGGCGCGGUGAAUACGUUCCCGGGCCUUGUACACACCGCCCGUCAAGCCAUGGGAGCCGGGGGUGCCUGAAGUUCGUGACCGCAAGGAGCGACCUAGGGCAAAACUGGUGACUGGGACUAAGUCGUAACAAGGUACC
rnacentral:rRNA from 1 species